rnacentral:miRNA from 1 species
AAAGGAGCUUCAGUUGAGGAAAUGCCUCCAUGAGAUCCAACUGUAAGGCAUUCUCUCAAUUAGUGCUGUUAUGCUGCUAGUGUAUGCUCUGACCAGUUUCUUUUUGGAGGUAUUUAGAGCUAUGAGUUUUCCUUUUA